AUCGCUUCCGGCCUUUUGGCUAAAAAUCAAAGUGAUUAUCGUUCUUAUCAGCUUAAAUCUGUUACGAUCCCCAUGGGGUCUAGGGAAAUUAAACUGAUUUUUGGAAAAUGGCAAAGUGUUUGGGGGCUUGCUCCCCUUUGCCGGGGAUGGGCCCCCGGUUUUUUGCAUUUACCCCCGGGGAAAGGGUCCACUCCCC